GGCACGAUGUUGGGCGCGAGCCGCGGGUUAGCGGGUCUGACGCUGCUGGGGCUGCUGCUGGCGCUCUCGGUGCGGAGCGGUGGCGCGUCGAAGGCCAGCGCCGGGCUAGUGACCUGCGGGUCAGUGCUGAAGCUACUCAACACCCACCACAGAGUGCGGCUGCACUCACAUGACAUCAAAUACGGAUCCGGUGCGCAGGGGUGGUGACUGGGACCGCCAGGGGGCGGAGGCUUAAAGAUCAGGUGGUUCUAGCGGGGUCUGUGGGUUGUUAGGGAGCCGAGGGGUUGCGAGUCUAGACGGGCUUUUGGGUCUUGACAGAGAAGCCGCGGGGAGUGAGGUUGCGCGCGCGCGCGCGGUGUGGGGGGUAUCCACCACUUAGGGUCCGGCCUGGGGUAGGGUGAGCCCUUCGGAUCCUGGAGUGGUAAGGGGCUGUGGGGAAAACUUUUUAGUGUUCAAGUCGAGGGUCUGGAGGUUUGUGAUUAACUAGAAACUACGGGUGGGGUGGGCUGUCCCUCUUCAGGCAGCGGCCAACAGUCGGUAACCGGCGUGGAGGCGUCCGACGAUGCCAAUAGUUACUGGCGGAUUCGCGGCGGCUCCGAGGGUGGGUGCCCGCGCGGGCUCCCAGUGCGCUGUGGGCAGGCAGUGCGGCUCACGCACGUGCUCACCGGCAAGAACCUGCACACGCACCACUUCCCGUCACCG
rnacentral:lncRNA from 1 species